UUACGGUCAUAACACGUUGAAACACCGGUUCUCGUAAGAUCAUCGAAGUUAAGCAAUAAGGAGCUUGGUCAGUACAAAGAUGGGUGGCCGCUUGUGAAUACCAGGUACUGUAAG